GAUGAACGCUGACAGCAUGCUUAACACAUGCAAGUCAACUUGAAUUUGGGUUUUUAACUUAGGUUUGGGUGGCGGACGGGUGAGUAACGCGUAAAGAACUUGCCUCACAGCUAGGGACAACAUUUGGAAACGAAUGCUAAUACCUAAUAUUAUGAUAAUAGGGCAUCCUAUAAUUAUGAAAGCUAUAAGCGCUGUGGGAGAGCUUUGCGUCCCAUUAGCUAGUUGGAGAGGUAACGGCUCACCAAGGCGAUGAUGGGUAGCCGGCCUGAGAGGGUGAUCGGCCACAAGGGAACUGGGACACGGCCCGUACUCCUACGGGAGGCAGCAGUGGGGAAUUUUGGACAAUGGACCGAGAGUCUGAUCCAGCAAUUCUGUGUGCAAGAUGAAGUUUUUCGGAAUGUAAAGUGCUUUCAGUUGGGAAGAAACAAAUGACGGUACCAACAGAAGAAGUGACGGCUAAAUACGUG
rnacentral:rRNA from 1 species